AACACUGAUGACAGAAAACGUACUAACAGGCUUUUUUGUGUUUCCAAAACGAGAUUCGUGUUUAAUAUAAAAAAUUUGAAAGAAUGGUUGCUGGGAAAUAGUCGGAUCGUUUGAAAAGAGGACCAAAACGUUUAUUCAAUAUCCUAUUGCUCCUCUGAGAAUUUAUUUUCAGGUUUUCAACAUGAGCGAAGCGGUUGUAGAAUCGAGUUAUGUGCCCUACACUUCACCAUUCCAAUUUGCCGAAAUGAAUUUUGAGAAGUCUGCUCUAGAAUUAGGAAGAGCCCAAUGGCCAAAUUAUAACGAUCAACAUUACCUUCGCGGAUGCAAAUGGUCUCCCGACGGCACAUGCCUGCUCACGGUUGUUCGAGGAGCAGGUAUGCAUGUAAUGGAGCUUCCUUCCGAUUUGUUUAUUGGCCUAAGUGUUCAAACGAGUAGACCGAUAGUGCCUUUAGUACCUGCAGUUAGUGUUCCUGAAGGAGGCCUCAUUUAUGAUUAUUGUUGGUACCCUGGAAUGAAUAGCGGUAAUCCAGCUACUUGUUGUUGGUUGUCCAGUGGCCACGGAGGGCCAAUCCACCUUUGGGAUGCCUUCUCAGGAGACUUACGAUGUACAUAUAGAGGCUACAACAAUCAAGACGAAGUUGAACCAGCAAUUAGUGUAACAUUUUCUGCAGAUGGUCAAAGUAUAUUUUGUGGUUACAAGAAGAACGUUAAAAUUUUCAGUACUGGUCGACCAGGAAGGGACUACGUGGAAUAUCCGUCUGCCCAUCAAGUAUCCUGUCUUGUGACUAGUCAGGCUCAGCCAGGGGUGGUAGCUAUAGGUACUUGGAAAAACACAAUUGAACUAGUAUCCCAAAGUGACGGUACAUUCAGGCAUCUGUGCAAACUCAACGGUCACAAGGGUGGGAUAACAACUAUGGCAUUCUCUCUAGAUGGAUUCAGGCUCUACAGUGGCGCUAGAAAGGACAAAGAGGUCAUUUGCUGGGAUCUACGAGUGCCUGGACGUCCAAUGUUUUGUGUAACGAGAGAAGUGAAUACAAACCAGAAAAUAAAUCUCGACUUGUCUGUAGAUGGGAAAUGGUUGGUUUCUGGGGGUACCGAUGGUAAAGUACAGGUUUGGAAUGUUGCUGAAGAAACCUAUCCUUCUGUUCACAUGCAGGAUCUGUUAAAUCUAUGUCACCAUUUCUUGACCGAGGAUUUUAAACCAGGAUAACUUUUUUUCAUUCCUUCCUAACAAUCGUUUUUUCCUAAAAUUCAAAUUUAGACUAAAUAAAUUCGUAGACAAGACCAGAGGAACAGUGACAUUUUCCUCAAUACUCAGCUAUUGAUGAGUUUACACAACGAUUGUUGUAAUGGGGUUAGCCUGCACCCCUACAGACCUAUCCUGGCUACGGCAUCGGGGCAGCAUCACGCGAUGGAUCCCAUGCAUCAUACUAGAAAUACUACGCAGUACGAGAACUCUUUAUGUAUGUGGUGGAUUGGGGCACAAGAAGAAGAUCCUGAUCUUCUAACUG